rnacentral:tRNA from 1 species
AGCCUAUUAGCUCAAUUGGUCGAGCACUGUGUAUAGUAUACAGAGGAUGUAGGUUCAAAUCCUACAUAGGUUA